CCCACAUUCCUCGAAUCAAACUUGAUUCGAAGAAUGUACAAUGGAAGGAUGAUUAGGUGAACUCCCAUGAUCUAUUUGCCAUAGCAUAUGGAUCUCCACAAGGAUUUGGACGUGCACUCAAUUAAUAUUUUGUCAAUCUCUUUCAUUUUCAGGGAUGAAAUCCUUAGCCGUUGAUAUUGUGCCUUUUUUCUUUUCCUUGAAUGAGUGUUGUUCUUUAUGAUUUGCUUGUGUUUAUUUUACAAAUUCCUCUAAGGAGAAAGGACCUUAUUCGUAUUGUAUAAGACUAAUUGGAGCAUUAUCUAUAUUUGAAUUUCCUUAGAACAA